GACGAACGCUGGCGGCGUGCUUAACACAUGCAAGUCGAACGGUGAAAGAAGAGCUUGCUCUUCUGGAUCAGUGGCGAACGGGUGAGUAACACGUGAGUAACCUGCCCCAGACUCUGGAAUAAGCGCUGGAAACGGCGUAUAAUACCGGAUACGAGACAGAGCUGCAUGGCUACUGUCUGGAAAGUUUUUCGGUCUGGGAUGGACUCGCGGACUAUCAGCUUGUUGGUGAGGUAGCGGCUCACAAAGGCAACGACGAGUAGCCGGACUGUGAGGGCGACGGGCCACCCUGCGACUAACGCACGGCCCGUUCUCCUACGUGAGGCAGCAGUGGUGAAUUUUGCGCAAUUGGCCAACGCCUGAUGCAGCGACUCCGCGUGACGGAUGACGGCCUUCGGGUUGUAAACCUCUUUCAGCAGGGAAGAAGCGAAAGUGACGGUACCUGCAGAAGAAGCACCGGCUAACUACGUG
rnacentral:rRNA from 1 species